UCGAGUGUGUAGAGAGCAGAGUGGCAUUCAGUACAAAACCAGGCGAUGCGACGAGACGAAAUAUGUUUUAUUUGUUAGUAGACAUCUAUUUUUUACCUGCGCCUGUGGUGUAAUGGAGUGGCCCUCUUCUGUGUUGCAAGAAACACACCCAAAUGAAGGGCUACGGGGAAGGUGCCACGCAUACAAGUACACAACUAAAGUGAGAGAAGCUGAUUCUGUUUAAAACGCCCACGAUUUCGUGAUGUGUGGUAUAAUAUACAUUAUAAUAUACAGAAGGACUGGUGCUGAGAAAGACAUGUCUUUUCAAGGAAACAAGCAUGACCUUUGUUGUUUAUGACUUCAAAAA